AAACGACAGACGUUUCAAUUAAAGCUGCUUACGAACGACAGCACAAGCAGAUUUUAAAUUAUGGAUCUAACUGCUCUGGGCCCUUGGCCCAUCUAAAUUUACAUAAAAAAUCUAGAGACUUUCUUCGACCCAAUAACUAACCCGUAUAAGAAAUUAGGGUUUUAAGGCUUCACAGUCUCUAUAUAAGCACAAGACCUCUUUCUUCGUUUCAUGGCAGUCUCGACGAUGGAAGCUGAUUGUUGGGUCUGAAAAGCUCAGAUAUUGUGUGUUGUCAUCAGCUUCAUCUCUUAACUGCCCACGAGAUAGGAGUUAAAUAACAGCACUAAAUUUGGUCUUUUUGUUGUUUUCAUAGUUCUCUUUCUGUAUAUUGGCUCUAGUGUUUCUCAUUGUUCAUUGUUUUGUGAUUGCAGAUAUUUCCGAAUCCAGUAGCCUUAGCUUGGACUAAUUCUGAUGGAGGACUGAAGUUUGUUGACGUUUUAGUCUGUAUUUUCUGUAUUUACUUGUAAAGAUAGUAUAAUAUGAGAACUCGAAAGAUUGUACAAAAAUGUAAAGUUCGAAGAUUUAUGAAUAAAGAACUGAUAAUGAUUUGUGAAUUUCGAAUUA